rfam:Octopus bimaculoides Scaffold10078_contig_1, whole genome shotgun sequence.
GGUUCUAUGGUGUUAUGGUUAGCACACUGGACUCUGAAUCCAGUGAUCCGAGUUCAAGUCUCGGUAGAACCU